rnacentral:misc_RNA from 1 species
AGAACACAGAAAAUAAAAAAUUUCCUCCUACAGGUAAUAUUUGGAAUACCUACAACAGAAUCAAACUUCAUUGGGGCUAUAAAUAUAGCUGUAUAAGCUCAUCACUUACUACAGAUGGUGUUAGAACGCCCAAAUCUGUGAAUAGCAGUGUAAGAUACUGGGGUGGUGUAUAAUCGCGAGCAGAUGUUUCAACCUCCACCUUGGACGGAAUUGGCACCCCAAAAUCAAUUGGACGUAAAGCUGGAAACAUAUCUUUUUGGUCCAGUGGAUAGAGACGAGCAAACUUGUAGCUUUCAGCAGCUACAUAGACUGGUUUAUUCAUGCUCUUCGCUACCAAAGCAAUUUGGUAGGUUCCCAUCAUGUUGAUAACGCCUCCGCUUUCAACCACACCGUCUGCCCCAACAAAAACCAUGUCAAUUUCAUCCAUGUUGUAUGCCACAGCAGAAUCUAUUAAGAGUUUUACAGGAACAUCAAGCUUCGCUAGCUCAUUAGACAAUCGUAACCCACUCCUGUCUGGCCUCCCUUCAGUGCAAAGAACUCGAAAAUUCUUCCUAUUCUGAGCAGCUGUUUUCAGAACCUCAAACACAACUCUGGAGAAGCCAUGUACUAAAAUGGUGCAACCAUCAAAAAUAAAUUCUUGGCUGAGCAUUGCAAUUAUCUUCCGAGCCUUAUAAGAUAUUUCCCCAAACUUCUCCGCACGUUCAAGAAAGCGAGACUUGGCUGAAUUAAAGUCCUCAUAUUCCAAUGCUGAAGUUCUUGUUACAUAGCGCAUGAACAAAUCACAACCAG